rnacentral:tRNA from 1 species
AUCUUUCUAGUAUAAAUGUUAGUACCUGUGACUUCCAAUCACCCAGACCUGGUUAAAACCCAGGGAAAGAUA